rnacentral:rRNA from 1 species
AUUGAACGCUGGCGGCAUGCCUUACACAUGCAAGUCGAACGGCAGCACGGACUUCGGUCUGGUGGCGAGUGGCGAACGGGUGAGUAAUGUAUCGGAACGUACCAUUCAGUGGGGGAUAACGUAGCGAAAGUUACGCUAAUACCGCAUAUUCUCUCCGGAGGAAAGCAGGGGACCGCAAGGCCUUGCGCUGAUUGAGCGGCCGAUAUCAGAUUAGCUAGUUGGUGGGGUAACGGCUCACCAAGGCGACGAUCUGUAGCGGGUCUGAGAGGAUGAUCCGCCACACUGGAACUGAGACACGGUCCAGACUCCUGCGGGAGUCAGCAGUGGGGAAUUUUGGACAAUGGGCGCAACCCUGAUCCAGCCAUGCCGCGUGAGUGAAGAAGGCCUUCGGGUUGUAAAGCUCUUUCGGUCGGGAAGAAAUCGCAUGGGUUAAUACCCUGUGCGGAUGACGGUACCGGCAUAAGAAGCAUCGGCUAACUACGUGCCAGCCGCCGCAGUAAAAC